ensembl:lncRNA
GGGAUGGGGGCUUGGGGGGGCUUCUUCCUCGCUCCCGGGGCCCCCUCCUCCGGUCGUUUUGCAGCUAGAAGACGGCCUGUUAGACGGAGCCCCGGCGGGCCUGGGCUGGAAGGGGGCGGGCCUGCCCUUCAGCCCCUCGCCUGGUCGACCCCGGAGAGUAUUUGAAGCUCGCGCUUCCUCCACCGCCCGAGCUGCAGACCCUUCUUCCCAGCGCGGCGCGACGGCCCCAAGUGGAUGGGCUGUCUCUGGUGAACACGUCCAACUCCAGAGGCUGUGACUCUGGGGACCUUCGUGACCCCAAGACAGGGUCACACACCCGUGGCAUUUGGUCGCCAAAUUCCAGACAAGGACCCCCAUUCAACCGACUGGCUCCAAGCUGAGCCUUGGAGAGGUGGCUGGGGACAGGAGGAAAAGACGGAGCCCCCCGUGCAUUGCCAGGAUUUCUCUUUCCGUAUCCCAGCCUCCCUGCUCCCUGGGGCACACAGGUGGAUGGCGGAGGCAGCCAGUGAAGGCACCAACCGAGGGGCAGAACCUCCACAUGCCAUGGGCGCAGGCCAAAUGGAGAGAGUGAUGGAGAGAGGAAGAAACGCUGGGAGACACAACCUCCAAGUCUCAAGUGGAAACGGGGAGAGAGGCGUCAUGGGAGGGAGCAGCUCUCGAAGUCCCAGCUGGCCCCCCCUAGCUUCGCAAGGACAGCGCUACCUCUCCUCAUCUCUAAGACACCAUCCACCACUGUACGGCGCACUUUUCCGUAUCACUCAGAAAGAGAAACCGCUGGCAAUUAAAUUUGCCGACACGAUAUCGUGAGCUUUUUCGGGCACACAGAGUUUGGGGAACUAUAUGAUGGACAGGCACACGCGCGCCACCCAGCCUCUGCCGCUGACAUGUGGUCCUAUCGCACAUCGGUGCCUCGAGCCAUCCAUCAUUCCACCUUUUUUAAAAAAAAUUAUUAAAUAGUUGAUUGACAAUGCAGUGCCCAUCUUUUUUUUUUUUUUUUUGGAUGCAUUUCAAAGUAGCUCGCAGACAUCAUAAUAGACCCUGGCGUACGUAUCAUUAACUAGAGCUGAAUAUGUGUUCACAGUCCUUUAGUUAGCAGGAAACCUACAAAGAACGCAAAUCUUGAGCAAAAACAUUCACCGAUAUUUGACAAAUGCUUACACCUGUGUAAGCCAAACCCUUUCAAGACACAGAAUCCCAAAAUUUCCUUCCUUCCUGUGCCAGGCAACCCCCACCCCCAGAGAAAACCACUCUUGUGGUUAGUUUUGCCUGUUCUAGAACUUCCUGUAAAUGGACUCGUACAGUCUGUAUUCAACAUGAUACCUUUGAUGUCUUUUGAUAUUCUUUGAUCUUCCGCAUAAGGCCUCUGAGAUCCGGCCAAGUUGUUCUGAGGAUCAGUAAUCCAUUCCUUUUAUCACUGAGUCGUUCCCCAGGGUGUGGGCGUUGCAGGGUUGGUGCCGCCAUUCCUCUGUUGAUUGACACCUGGGCUGUUUUCUGUGUUGGGCUGUUAAAGCCAACGAGAGGUCAUCGCAUUUUUAAGGCAAUCCUGAUUUCACUUCAAAGUGGGGACCUCCAGUCCCAGGCAAGGGGAGCUGAGUGCUGACCACCAGCACCAAUUCACCAAGUUCAUCCUGCCAGCGGCCCUUGCUGGGUCUCUCUCUGUUUCACAAAUGUGAAACUGAUAGGGAAAGAGGUUAAACCAUUUACAAAUGUGAAACUGAUAGGGAAAGAGGUUAAACCAUUUACAAAUGUGAAACUGAUAGUGAAAGAGGUUAAACAGCAGGGAGUUCCCGCUGUGGCUCAGCAGAACGAACCCCACUAGCAUCCAUGAGGAUGCGAAUUUGAUCUCUGGCUCUGCUCAGGGGAUUAAAGAUCCGGCGUUGCCGUGAGCUGUGGUGUAGGUGGAAGACAUGGCUUGGAUCCUUCAUUGCUGUGGCAAUGGUGUAGGCCGGCAGCUGUAGCUCCACUUCGACCCCUAGCCUGGGAACUUCCCAUAGGUAGGCCGCCCCCCGCCCCCGAAUCGAAACCUAUAUCUUGGGAGUUCCCACUGUGGCACCGUGGGUUAAGGAUCCAACUGCAGUGGCUUGGGUCACUUCAGACGCUGGGUUUGAUCCCAGCCCAGGGCAGUAGGUUAAAGGAUCCCAUGUUGCUACAGCUGAGGCUCGGAUUCAUUCCUUAGCCUGGGAACUUCCAUAUGCUGCAGGUGUGGCCAAAAAAAAAUAUAUAUAUAUAAAUAAACCUAUAUUUUAUCCAUAUACA